CCUACGGGCGGCAGCAGUGAGGAAUAUUGGUCAAUGGACGCAAGUCUGAACCAGCCAUGCCGCGUGCAGGAAGACGGCUCUAUGAGUUGUAAACUGCUUUUGUACGAGGGUAAACGCAGAUACGCGUAUCUGUCUGAAAGUAUCGUACGAAUAAGGAUCGGCUAACUCCGUGCCAGCAGCCGCGGUAAUACGGAGGAUUCAAGCGUUAUCCGGAUUUAUUGGGUUUAAAGGGUGCGUAGGCGGGCUGUUAAGUUAGAGGUUAAAGCCCGAGGCUCAACCUCGGAAUUGCCUUUGAUACUGGUCGGCUAGAGAGUAGUUGCGGUAGGCGGAAUGUAUGGUGUAGCGGUGAAAUGCUUAGAGAUCACGCAGAACUCCGAUUGCGAAGGCAGCUUACCAAGCUACUACUGACGUUGAGGCACGAAAGCGUGGGGAGCAAACAGGAUUAGAUACCCGAGUAGUC
rnacentral:rRNA from 1 species